UACAGAGGGUGCAAGCGUUAAUCGGAGUUACUGGGCGUAAAGGGCGCGUAGGCGGUUAUGUAAGUGAGAUGUGAAAUCCCUGGGCUUAACCUAGGAACUGCAUCUUAUACUGUAUAGCUGGAGUACUGUAGAGGGUAGUGGAAUUUCCGGUGUAGCGGUGAAAUGCGUAGAUAUCGGGAGGAACACCUGUGGCGAAAGCGGCGCACUGGACCACAACUGACGCUGAGGCGCGAAAGCUAGGGGAGCAAACAGG
rnacentral:rRNA from 1 species